UACAGAGGUGCCAAGCGUUGCUCGGAAUUACUGGGCGUAAAGCGCACGUAGGCGGCUUUCUAAGUCGGGGGUGAAAUCCUGGAGCUCAACUCCAGAACUGCCUUCGAUACUGGAGAGCUCGAGUCCGGGAGAGGUGAGUGGAACUGCGAGUGUAGAGGUGAAAUUCGUAGAUAUUCGCAAGAACACCAGUGGCGAAGGCGGCUCACUGGCCCGGUACUGACGCUGAGGUGCGAAAGCGUGGGGAGCAAACAGG
rnacentral:rRNA from 1 species